rnacentral:rRNA from 1 species
UACGAAGGGGGCUAGCGUUGCUCGGAAUCACUGGGCGUAAAGGGUGCGUAGGCGGGUCUUUAAGUCAGGGGUGAAAUCCUGGAGCUCAACUCCCAGAACUGCCUUUGAUAUUGAAGAUCUUGAGUUCGGGAGAGGUGAGUGGAACUGCGAGUGUAGAGGUGAAAUUCGUAGAUAUUCGCAAGAACACCAGUGGCGAAGGCGGCUCACUGGCCCGAUACUGACGCUGAGGCACGAAAGCGUGGGGGAGCAAACGGG